GAUGAACGCUAGCGGCAGGCCUAACACAUGCAAGUCGAGGGGUAGGACAUUUCGGUGUCUGAGACCGGCGCACGGGUGCGUAACGCGUAUGCAAUCUGCCUUAUACUAAGGGAUAGCCCAGAGAAAUUUGGAUUAAUACCUUAUAGUAUAUAGAUGUGGCAUCACAUUUAUAUUAAAGAUUUAUCGGUAUAAGAUGAGCAUGCGUCCCAUUAGCUAGUUGGUAUGGUAACGGCAUACCAAGGCAAUGAUGGGUAGGGGUCCUGAGAGGGAGAUCCCCCACACUGGUGACUGAGACACGGACCAGACUCCUACGGGAGGCAGCAGUGAGGAAUAUUGGUCAAUGGGCGCAAGCCUGAACCAGCCAUGCCGCGUGCAGGAUGACGGUCCUAUGGAUUGUAAAACUGCUUUUGUACGGGAAGAAACAACUCUUCGUGAAGAGUCUGACGGUACCGUAAGAAUAAGGAUCGGCUAACUCCGUGCCAGCAGCCGCGGUAAUACGGAGGAUCCAAGCGUUAUCCGGAAUCAUUGGGUUU
rnacentral:rRNA from 1 species